AAAACGGCGGCGUUUUCGUGUAGAAAGCAACUCAAUUUUCGGUGAGAAAAAAAAAAGAACAAAAGAUUUCCCCUCCUUUUUUCCGCCCUUUUUCGUUCUGGUUUAUAAAAUGAUCGAAAUCGACGCUGCCAUUUCUGCCACCACCACUUCCUCUGGUUUCCGAUAUGAAACUAUGGAUAGAUUUCGUGCAACCUGUUUCCCGCCAUUGAAUUCGCCUUGAAGGAGACAUUUCGAGAGAACGAAGCCGAUUUCGUUGUUGCUGCUGUCUGAUCAAUCGUCACAGCAGCUCAGCUGCUCGAUAAUGGCAGAACUUCGGAACUCGAAUGGCAGAAUUCGACUGUCAUGAUUGUUCAAUGAAGUCGACCUACUAUACGGGCUUCGUUCAUUGAUGAGGAUGCUGUCUCCAGUUUCCAAUUUGCUGGAAAUAGUAUCGCGUUUAUGCUUCAUCAAGCUACUCGAGCAGUAUGAAGGGCCACGAACAGAAGAAAUUCUCUGCACUUCAACAACUGUUUCUAUGGGAAUGUGUAAGUGUCCAAAAGAAAGUUAUGAAAAGGGAGGAGGAGAUAAGGCAUCGCAUCAACCCUUCUAAUGCCAGGGAGUUCACAAUAAGUUGUUUCGUGGCUUGAAUAGAAAAAAAAUUGUUCUCUAAUGUUGUCGUCUUUUAUUUUUUAUCUUCUUGUCAGUGAUAUAUGAGACAGAGUAAGCAGCUUAACUUCGAAGAGAAAAAGUGGGUGCCUUCUGCGUUUAAUUCCUUCAUCGAUACCUUAAAAAACACAGAAAAGAGAGACAACCUGACUGCUUGCGUCUGUUGUUUAACGAUUUUGAAGAAGAAAGAAGGACAGUUUGACUUAUUAUUGUCAAGCUUCUUAUGAAACAGGAGUCAUUAUUGAUUUCUCUCGUUUUGCAUCAUAGAUGCCAAGAACAGAGGACAUUCUCAACCUUCCGGUGCAAGAUCCUCCAUGCUUGGUGUUUUCUGCUGCUCAUAUCAAGUGGGAAAAAGUAGAAGGUGGUCGUCAAGGUGGUGCUGAUAUUGCUCUAGUCCCAUUUUCUAGAGUUGAAGAUUUCGUUAAAGGAGAAUCUUCCAAUGCAGAUUGUCCUGCUCGCUUCCGCAUUGAAUCAAGAAGGAAGAGAACUGCAGGGAGGGUCAGCAAGCCAAGGGUUGAUGGUUAUCUCGAAUAUAUAUUGUACUGGUGUUCUUACGGUCCAGAAGAUUAUCGAGUAAGUGAAUCAGGUAUUAGGAGUAGCUCAAUCAUCAAACCUGCAUCAGGGAAGGGCAGCAGACCAGGAAGAUGUCACAUGAUGAGAGGCUGCCUCUGCCAUUUCACUGUUAAGCGCUUAUAUGCACGGCCACAUCUUGCUCUCAUCGUCUAUAACCAAAGGAAGCAUGUUGACAAGUCAGGAGCCCCUUGCCAUGGGAUACUUGAUCAUGAUGCUAUUGGAACGAGAGCUAUGUAUGCUCUGAGAAUUUCAGAGGAAUUACGUCAAAAGAUUAUGUCCAUGCUGUAUGUAGGAAUACCUAUUGACAAUAUUGUUCAGCACCAUCUAGAGGUUGUACAGGGGCAUGGGGGACCCCAAAAUCGUGAUGAUUUUCUUUCUCGUAAUGAUGUCCGUAACAUGGAAAGAGUUAUUCAUAGUUCUUCACAUGAGCUACAUACAGAUGAUGAUUGUAGUGUGAAGAUAUGGGCACAACGUCAUAAGAAAAACAUUUUCUUCUUUCAAGAGAGCAGUGACCGUGAGCCUUUUGUCUUGGGCAUACAGACAGAUUGGCAGCUACAAAAGAUGUUGCAUUAUGGCUGUAACAGCUCUGUUGCCUGCCAUUCAACAUUUGGAUCGAAGAAACUACGGUUUCCACUCUGUACUAUACUUGUUUUUGACUCAUCCCAAAAUGCUAUUCCUGUUGCUUGGGUUAUUGCAUCCUCUUUUGUUAAUCAAGACAUUCGGAAAUGGCUUGGAUUGCUAGCUGAAAGACUGCAUGCGAAGGAUCCCAGAUGGAGAAUCGAUACCUUUUUAUUAGAUAAUCCUUUUUUCGAGGCUUCUAUUAUAAGGGAGGCCUUUCAAUGUCAGGUUCUAUUAUGCACAUGGCAUGUUCGUCGCAGUUGGAUUAAGAAUCUUCUUAAUAAGUGUUCUAACUCGGAUGUGCAAAGAGAGAUGCUUAAGCAAUUAGGGCAAAUUUUGUAUUGCACGAGGACUGGGCCAAGUUUUGCAGAUGUGGUUGAAGAGUUUAAGCAAAUAUUUGCUGAUCAAUGUGUCUUUGUUGAUUAUUUCACGAGAAGAUUGUUGCCAGACAUAGUAUUGUGGGUUAAUGGUAUACGGUCGCUCCCUGUUUCCACUUUGGAGGCUAAUGCUGCGAUUGAAGCAUAUCACAUAAGAUUAAAAUCCAAGCUUUUCAAAGAGCAAAGCAACAAUGCCUGGUCAAGAGUUGACUGGCUGAUCCACACUCUUACAACUCAAUUUCACUCCUCAUAUUGGUUAGACCAAUACAGUCUAGAGACUGGAUGUUUUGGAAAUUUCAGAGAUAAAUCCUUCUUAAAUAAUGCAUGGAAUAGGGCACUACAUAUCCCAGAUGUUGACGUUAUGCUGGAUGAGCCAAAUCUUCAGCUUGCAAAAGUAAUGUCUCAGUCAAAAAGAAAUGUGGAAUAUAUAAUUUGGAAUCCUGGUUCAGAGUUCUCAUUAUGUGAUUGUCCUUGUUCAAGGAUGGGAAAUCUCUGUAAACAUGUCAUCAAAGUCUCAAUGUUAUGCAAAAGGCAGCAAGAUGCAUGGCCAUUAUUGGCUGCUCAAGUUUACCAGGAUCGUGUGCUAAACCUUCUGCACAGCCCUGCAGAUAACUCUGUUGUUUUUGACCAUGCCAUUUUACAUGUGACUUGCACUCAACAAGAAGUAAAAGGCUUGGAUAACUUGCCAGAUGGUGGCUUUCUCCAGCCCUUACAUCCUGAUAUUAAUUCCCAAUUAGAACAUAAUGUUCCCUUUUCUCCACAUCACCAAUAAUUUUAUGGUUUUUAAUGAGAACCAUCAUAUGGGCUUUUUGACUGAUGAUGGAAGUCAGCAUAUGAGUUUUUCUGGAGCAUGAUGCAAGCUUCAAUGUAUACUAAAACUCCCCACGUUCAACUCGGGUGGAUCUGAGAGUUUGAGAAGGAUGCAAUACAGCUAAUUGGGCAAUGGGCCAUUAAGGAUGACCACUCUGUCGACGAGUCAUGAGGUGAGGAAGUGUGGAGAGACAAUCAACAACUUUCCUCUUUGGAUUAGUGGGAAACUAGCAAAGCUAAUCUGUGCAGGCUUCCAAAUUGAAGCCAGCUUGAGAGUUGCCUGAUGUGAUAAUCUGCUCCCGAUUGCUCAGCUAGACUGUUUUUCGAGUAGGUUGGAAAAUAUAUCUGAACUUUAGAAGAACGAAUUUGUGACAGAGAAUCAGAACCUGGGAAGGAGCAGAAUGGUAGUACCAUCUUUGUCGACUUCAAAAUUAAUCCAUGAAACUGGUCGUAGCAAGCGUUUCCGAGAGAUCGUAAUUUACAGGCCUGGUCAGAAAUAAUUUACACUGCAAAGUUGAUUUUCCAGUGAAAAAGUUGUAUUGUAACCUGAAAUUCUGCAGCUCGAGAAGCUUGCAGACACAGAGAGCCUUAUUGUGCGCCACAUUGAGGCAGCAAGAGCUCAAUUUAUUGUUUAUCACGACUACUUCAUUCAGUGUACUUGAUAUGUGACCAAAACUUGAUGGUAAAACAUCCAUAGAACUUGUUGGCAAGAAAAAUUACAGAAACUGGUGAGUUUCCAAAAUUGUUGGGCAGUUCAAAAGCGAACAAAUUGCAGUUGAUAAAAAUGGCAUCAAGAUCUUUGUCAAAAAGAUAUCGAGGUACUCACCUUCAAGCUCAUUGAACCAAAAGCUCAAGGUGUUUAAGACUUGGAAAAUUAAGAACAACAUGGGGAAAUGUACCUACAAACUGAUCGUUACUGAUUUUAAGCUCAGAGGAGCUUAAGUCUUUGGCAACUGCUUGGAACUUGAUUGAAAGGCGUUCAUGAAGGUGGACGACUCGCAGACUCGAGCUGCACUUUGCAGUUCUGCUGCCUCUGCUUAGUGUAUGAACCUGUAUGAUAAUUUCUGUGCUAUGAUGAGCCAAACAAGUGUGAGAAAGCUAGGGAGAGGAAAGAAGAUUUGUGAAUCACAAGAACUGAGAGCUUUUGGAAUGAUUUAUGUAGGUUUCAGGGACAACUGAGGGAAACCCAUUACGUUUGUGGGGCUACCAUUCCUGAGCGUCGUCUUUGGACCCAAUUCCAGAACUUCGAAUGGCCGGCAUGCUUUGGACGGUAGAACGGGGAGAGGGAGAGUCGUGCCCAUUCUCGCUCCGGACAUGAACAGGAACAUCAAAAUGAAAGACCGAAGACAUGUACACGAUGGAAUGACAUAUUUCAAAAUACAUGAUCUGAUUUGUUUGAUAGGCUGCCUGCAAAAAUAGUUUACCGACCGCAUAACAAUUCAUUCUUGUGUGUAGCGCGUGGGGCCGAGGUACAAACUCUCACUCCUCCCAUUUGUUGUACUAAAAAAAUGAAUACCAAAUUGAUAUCUAUAGAAAUAUGAAGGUUUAAAAUUUCA